CUUUGAAGUCGGAACGCUAGUUUCGAUUGAGUCACCCUUGAGAUACUACCUCUGUUGUAUGAACGUUCUAACUCUGAUCAGUUAUCCUGAUCGAAGACAGUGUCUGGCAGGCAGUUUGACUGGGGCGGUCGCCUCCUAAAAGAUAACGGAGGCGCUCAAAGGUUUGCUCAGAAUGGUUGGAAAUCAUUCGUAGCGUGUAAAGGCAUAAGCAAGCUUGACUGUGAGACUGACAAGUCGAGCAGGUACGAAAGUAGGACUUAGUGAUCCGGUGGUUCCGUAUGGAAGGGCCAUCGCUCAACGGACAAAAGCUACCCCGGGGAUAACAGGCUCAUCUCCCCCAAGAGUCCACAUCGACGGGGAGGUUUGGCACCUCGAUGUCGGCUCAUCGCAUCCUGGGGCUGUAGU
rnacentral:rRNA from 1 species